GCUCGCGCGUCACAUGACCAAUUCAAUUCCUUCCUCCAACUGCCUUCCCCGAGGCUGUGACGGCGUCCGAGGGUUGAACUCGAGCCCGAGCCAUUGGAGAGCCGUUAGUGCGCGAGCGGCUGUGGCAGUGUUGAGCAAAGAUACUGAGGCGCCGCGCCUUGUGGAGCACAGCCCGAUUCGCAGCCCUCCCGCAGGACCAGAACCAACAGACGGACAAAAAUAAAACCACCAAAACAAAAAUAGAGAGAGAAGCAAGCAAACCCACAGAAGGAGAGGAAGGAGGGAGGGAGGGAGGAAGGGGGAAAAUAAAUUCCAGAGAGUCUUGCAACGCCAGAACUUUCCUGAGCUCGCGCGCGCGCGCGCGCGUGUGUGUGUUCUGGGGAAGGGGGGAAGUUUGUUGGAAUAUGGUUGGGGAAAUGGAAAAUAAGGAGCGACCAAAACCGACCCCAGACUAUCUCAUGCAACUGAUGAACGACAAGAAGCUGAUGAGUAGCCUGCCCAACUUCUGCGGCAUUUUCAACCAUCUGGAGCGGUUGCUGGACGAAGAGAUCAGCAGAGUGCGGAAAGAUAUGUACAACGACACAUUAAAUGGCAGCACAGAGAAAAGAAGUACAGAAUUACCAGAUGGUGUGGGGCCUAUUGUACAAUUACAAGAGAAACUGUAUGUGCCUGUUAAAGAAUAUCCAGAUUUCAACUUUGUUGGAAGAAUUCUUGGACCCAGGGGACUAACAGCAAAACAGUUGGAAGCGGAGACUGGAUGCAAGAUUAUGGUGCGAGGGAAGGGCUCAAUGAGGGACAAGAAGAAGGAGGAGCAAAACAGAGGCAAACCCAACUGGGAACACCUGAAUGAAGACCUGCAUGUAUUAAUCACUGUGGAAGAUGCACAGAACAGAGCAGAAAUCAAGCUAAAGAGGGCAGUGGAGGAAGUUAAAAAGUUACUUGUACCAGCAGCAGAGGGAGAGGAUAACCUUAAGAAGAUGCAACUGAUGGAAUUAGCGAUACUGAACGGCACUUAUAGAGAUGCCAACAUCAAAUCACCUGCCCUUGCCUUUUCUCUUGCAGCGACAGCCCAAGCUCCACGGAUCAUUACAGGGCCCACGUCAGUUCUUCCACCAGCUGCUUUGCGAGCCCCCACGCCAGCUGGUCCAACUAUCAUGCCUCUAAUUAGGCAAAUUCAGACAGCAACAGUCAUGCCUAAUGGAUCCCCACAUCCAAAUGCAUUAGUGCCUCCCGCACCUGAAGCCGGUCUAAUCUAUACUCCUUACGACUACCCGUACACACUGGCACCAGCUACUUCCAUCCUGGAGUAUCCCAUUGAGCCGAGUGGAAUUUUAGCUUAUAUUGGGCUGGUCAAUGCUGGUGGUUCCAUUCAGAACGGCGAGGGCUUACCCAUUUAACCUGCAGUAAGUCUGGGACCUCUGUGCAAGUGCAUUAGGUGGCAGAGUGAAAGGUAUGGCAUUCCCAACGAAAGGCUAAGAAUUCAAGGACCCAUGUCACUGAAACCCUCAUCAGAUCUGAACUUUAACAAAUGCUUAGUUUCACAGCAGCCAUGGACAAAAUAUGCCGGGCCUGACUGUCAGUGAGAUGCUAGCAUUAUGUGCGUGUGUAUGUGUACGUGUGAGUGUGUGUGCGUGUGUGCACGCAUCACAUUUGGAAACCAGUUGGGUCAAUUAGUUAUGAUUCUGGCCUAGUGCUCUUCCUAUCAUUUUGUUCCAUCUAUCCCAGAGGAAGCACAUUCAGUGUGUUUCAUUGCCUGCUUGGUGUAGGGUAUUUGCUUUAUACAUCACCUAAUUCAUUGCAAUUUGUAGCUAGUCGCUUCUGAGAUAAGCGUGUAUUUUUUAGGUCAUGCAAUUGCUGCAAAAAAUUUUAAAUUUGUAGAGGUUUUAUUUUAAAAAAAGAACUGAUGUCAAUAUAGAUUCAGUGUUAUGAAUUAAAACGUAUUUCUCUGCAAGGUGCACUCCACUGAUUAUGUGACUAGUAAAACUUAAUUAUGCUUGCAUCUAAUUAAGUAAUCUCAUUUCAUAUGGUGGGAUUUUUAACAAGUGGAUAACGACAGUGGGUUAAGUCUAUGUCUUUUGAAACGGAAUGCAAUAUUAACAUGCACAGUUGUACUCAAUUAAGUAAUUUCUGCUUAAAAUGUUCGAGUUAUAAAGGUGCUGUGCCUUAACCUGUUUUUUUAACUGCUACCAUGCUGUAUUUUCUAAUGUAAAUCCAUCUUUGAUCUGCUGUUGAAAUGCUAUUAAUAUGUUAACCAAUCACUUCCUAGGAAAUUCCUCUAACCAUGUGUUGCAAAUGUUGCAAUUUAACUAGGUGCAGUGGCUACUAAAGUUCGAAGGCGCGAUAUGCGGGUCCUUCCUUAUCAAAGGAUUGUGACCAUAGACAGAGGUUAGUUUAGUUCUGGAGUUCUUGUUUUUUGUCGAACAUGUUGACUGAAAGGGUGCUGCUUUGCAAAAUCACAUAAGGUGGGGUUGUCCAAUGGUCUACUUUCUGAGGACCAGUUCUGUCCACUUUUAUUCAACCAAAUACCACUGUGCCCAACGACUCCGAAGAUUUUUGUGGCAAAGCUUUGUUGGAACUUCCGAAUGUAAUUCCUCACAUUGGACAGGGGUGAUAGAGAAGUAUUUGAGGCUGGAGAAAAAGAAUAUUGGUGUUCCUAUCCUGCUUGGUAAGACUGAUGAACAUUGAGGGGCAUGUUCUAACGGCCUUUGCUUGUUUAUAUGGGGGGACGGGGGGGGGGGGGGGGGGGGGGGGGGGGGGGGGGGGGGGGGGGGGGGGGGGGAGAAUGUGUUCAUUUAUUUUAAAAGUAGUCAAAUCCAAAAAUAUUUUUCAAACUAUGCUUCUGAAAGGACCAAAUCCUUUUCAUUGAAGAAACUCUGAAUUGUGCCUUUAUAAUCUUCAGUGGAAUAUGAAUUUUAUACACUAUUGUACCUGAUUCUUAUUGAUGCUUUUUGGGGCAUCCAUGUACUUUUUAUACCUGCAUUGGACCCAUCAUACCUAUACAGUCGGGUCAACAUUUUAUCUUUGUAGUUAUUUUGGAAUUUGCUCCCCAUAAUGCACUCAGAAGGUCUUAACAGGGAUCGGUGUUCAUUUUCCCAGCCUAACUCUUGCCAUAAUUAUGUGCCCUUAGACCUGUCAGUGGAAAAACAUAUAAAUUAUUAAUAUAUUUAGGCUCACAAACACACCAUGUUCUUAGUUUUCAUUGAUAUCAUUGCAUUCAGCAAACUCCCAGGAAUUAAAAUUCUUGCCCAUUUUUUAUGAAAGGUUAGACACAAAACCAAGUGAAAUAUCAGUAUUUAGUCACCUUUCUUUUCCUGACAACAUAUGGAACUGCUCCCCUUAGCCCCGCUGUCCCAUGCAUAUAUUUGUUUUCUGGAUCCAAAUUGUUUCCAUUAACUGACCCCCUUUGUUUUAUGUGGGGAAAUGUGCUAUUUUAUGUGCACUUUAAGUUUUAAGAGAGAUCGUGUCUAACUGGGGAGUGAGAGAGGGAAGUGAGAGGAAGGGAAGAAGGAGCAGCAGUGGCGUGGAAGGAUUAAUAUGAUAUGGAACUGGAUCUGGCCACAAUCAAUAAACUAACAGACUAAAAGUUUGUUCAAGGUUCCAGUCUCUGCAGUCCCUUGUCUCGCCUAACUAAAAGGCAACCUCCUCUUGCAUAUUAGCUUCCCAAUGACUAUACAGGCCUACAAGCCUCAACUGGAUUUAUGAGCUGCUAAAUCAGCUGUGCAUCCCCAACACUGAGAGGGAGGGGGAGGUGGUGCUGAUGUUUUAACAGCAUGCAUGUGGAGAAUAACUUGAAUCUUCGCACCCAGACCCAGGAAUCAAAAGCUGUGUCAGGAUACAAUCCUGCAGUUACUGGGUUUAGGCAAAAGACAUUGAUAAUGCUGCAGCUCUCACUACUUUACAUAAUGGAGACAUUUUUUGCACUUAAUCCAGAGAUUAUUUUCAAGACACCAGAGCUCAGGUAAUUUCUGUAAAUUAUCAAAGAAUUCCCAGAAAUGCCAGCGAGCAUCCAUACCAUUAGAAAGUCCCAUUCAGAUCUGCAUGAUGUGUCGAGAACCUAACUUAUCUCUUUAAAUUUGGCCCCUAAUUUAUUCAUGAUCUUUUCAAAGCUAGUGUCUACCAACCAGGUCUAAGGGACUUCCAUAUUUGAUAUAAUACGUUUAAAUAGACGGUUCCCUUCCUUUGCAUAGGAUUAUAAGUCUCUUAUGUAUGCAUUUUGCAACAGAGAAAAAUAUACUUUCCAGUUGAUUUAGAUGUAUUACCUUUAACUAAUUAUUUAGGUUAGGUGAUGGGUUAAUGACUGCAUCAACCUUUACAGCAAAGAAAAUGACCCUGCAGUGUAACUUUACAGUAAUGUAUUUGGUACAGAUAACAAGAUAGACUGACUGAAGCAAUUGGAAUAAACUCCACAUUGUGUUGCACGAUUAUUGAACCUGUGUGUACUGUUAGGACCCUUGGACUGGGCAGAGGAUCUGUAGCGGGUGUAUUGGUUGAUUAGAGAUCAUACCCAUUUUGUUGGUCCUUACAGGCUGUAUAAUUUAUGUCAAGUAAACACAUAUAUGUGUUUCAUUUUCCCUGAGCACAUUGCAACAUAAAUUAAAUUACUAUUGCAAAGGAUUUUAUUUUCUUGAGUUUUUGGGAAGAAAAACAAUUGCAACAGUAAGCAAGUCUUUGAAUGUAAAGAGAUUAUACAGGCAUCAAUCCGUUCUUGAUUUUAACAAGUACAUUGAAAGAACUGGCAUCAUAGUAUUAUGUUUUGUUUCAUCAUGACCUCAGCUGCUAAUGUAUUUGGAUAUUGUGACAGGAUCAGUGUCUGACUCCAGGCAGUUUCAUCUCCCUGGCCUUGCAUUGGCUCUUGGUGGGUAAUGCACUCUUUUUUUUAACCCACUAUCAUGGGCAAAUGUGCUGUUCUUCAAUCCUGUAAUCUGUUCCUUUUUAUCCUAAAGAAGAUGAGGUCUAAAAAUGAGAGAGCAUGACCACAACACGGGAAAUAUAUACAGCCAAAUCUAUAUGCCAUCAAAAGGGUUGCUAUUAUUAAGCAUUACACUGGCCUUACCUUGCUAAAAUGGCACAAAUUUGACUUUGCACUGAAUAAUUUAUUUCAUUUCCUCUGUUUAUGCCUUGUGGCCAACAGUACAAUAUUUUGGAACCUCAGAACUUUGAUACAUGUUAAGCUGUUGAACAAAAGUCUUAUUUUACAUUUAAGUGGACCAAGUUGGGUAGAGAGAAUGGGGAGAAGAGUCAAAGAGAAACGGAAUGAUUCCAGAACACUGUGACUUAUCAUUUUCCACUUGAGAACUUUUGUUUUACUGUAAUCAUCUCCAUUUUUAAUUUUUUUGCAAAGAAAAUAGUAUUACAGGUGGCUUCUUUUAAAAAGUAUAAAAAUAUAAAGCAGGAAUGUAUAUGAAAAUGUCAGAUUUUAUUGUAUUUGCAGAGUAUUAGCAAUGAAAUUCAAAAAAGAGGGCUGUUUGUAGUUUAAAAUGUGCAUUGUAGCAUUCAGUAGAAAAUUCAUCUAUUUUUGGAUAUAUUUUAGGGCUUUAUAAAUGUAGACUUUUAAAACGGCAGGACUUCUUUUGUGUUUACAUGCAAAUGCAUUUUAUACAAGACUGUCCUAUAAGUGUACAGUAGUACUCAACUGGAAUAUGUUGGAUAAAGUAAAUUAAUUGGCCUCUUCCAAGUUCCCAUGAUGUAGCCUACACUGCUAGUCGUAUAAUUUAGAUUUGCUUGUAUUUUGAGGCCAAGAAUUUCAUAUUGUUGUAAAUAGAAGAAAUGAAAGGCAAUAAAAUUUUAUUGAACAAC